GAUGAAGAACGCAGCGAAAUGCGAUACGUAAUGUGAAUUGCAGAAUUCAGUAAAUCAUCGAGUCUUUGAACGCACAUUGCGCCCCCUGGUAUUCCGGGGGGCAUGCCUGUCCGAGCGUCAUUGCUGCCCUCAAGCACGGCUUGUGUGUUGGGCCUCCGUCCUCCUCCCGGGGGACGGGCCCGAAAGGCAGCGGCGGCACCGCGUCCGGUCCUCGAGCGUAUGGGGCUUCGUCACCCGCUCUUGUAGGCCCGGCCGGCGCUUGCCGACACAUCAAUCUUUUUUCCAGGUUGACCUCGGAUCAGGUAGGGAUACCCGCUGAACUUAAGCAUAUCAAUAAGCGGAGGA
rnacentral:misc_RNA from 1 species